rnacentral:rRNA from 3 species
GCCCCCCGAAUUGUGGUCUAGAGAGGCGUUAUCGGCCGCGCCCGCCGCUCAAGUCCCUUGGAACAGGGUGUCGGAGAGGGUGAGAAUCCCGUACCGUGGCGGGUUGCGGCCUUACGAUGCGUCCUCGUCGAGUCGGGUUGCUUGGGAUUGCAGCUUGAAUUGGGUGGUAAAUUCCAUCUAAAGCUAAAUACUGGCGAGAGACCGAUAGCGAACAAGUACCGUGAGGGAAAGAUGCAAAGAACUUUGAAAAGAGAGUCAAAGAGUGCUUGAAAUCGGUAGGAGGAAACCCGGAUGGGCCCGGCUUCGGCGCGCCGACUCAGCCUGGGGUUCUCCCCAGGUGCACUUCUGCGCGCCGGGUCAGCCGCGCCUCGGCGCCGCGCCUCAACCCGGGAGCGGGGCUUUACGGCCAGCUCCCGUCCUGGCGCGGCCCGGGGCCCGGCUGACGGAACGGGCCCCUCCGACCCGUCUAGAAACACGGACCAAGGAGUCUGACACGUGUGCGAGUACCCGGGUGGCAAGCCCGCGUGCGGAAUGAAAGUGAAGGGCAUGCCCUGCCAACCGACCUUGACCUGCUGUGAGGGGUUUGAGUGGAGCACACCUGUCGGGACCCGAAAGAUGGUGAACUAUGCCU